GAGGGACUCUGCUCACUGCGGGCGCGGCCCGGACGCCGGCCCACGGCCACUUCCGGCACGCUGCGCUAACGGCUCCGCCGCCCGGCGCGACUUCCGGUCCGCGCUCGCUCCAGCCCCCCGCGGCCGGGCCGGGUCGGGCGGCAGCGGAGCGUCCCCGCCGAGGGCCCCGCCCCGCCUCCCGGCCGGCUCUCCCGGGCGGCCCCACCAAGGGGCGGUCUUGGGCCCCGAAGUGGCUGCUAGGCGCGGGAAGGCCCGGGGCGGCGGGACAGAGAGCGCCCGGCAGCCAUCUUGCAAGCGGGCGAAAGAGGUUCUGUUCGGGCAGCGUCAUGUAAUCCCCUGUGUCGUCACGAGGUGGGCGGGGCGCCGCCCUUUGCCGGGGGGAGGCUGGCGGGUCUGCCUGGAUGGGGCUGGCGGUGUGUCAGGCUCCCAGUGACGUGCAGGUCGAGCGAGCGCGACGUGUGGACGCGAGUGUGGCAGAAUCUGUGAACACGCGCGGCGUGCAUCGUGUCCUCAGUGUCUGUCACUAUAAUCCUCAUUCAGCUGAGAGAGCCCAACAGCAACAAUGCCCCAGCAGCAAAGCACACAUGGAACACCAGAUCCUGGGUUCUAAUCCCAUCUCCAGUAGAACGGCCAGGGCUCCUUAGAGAAAUGACUGAUCCUAGGACGGGGGCAGAAAAUAUACAAGCUGAGCCUGGACCAACUCGUAGUGCCAGAAAGCAAGACACGGAAUUAGAGUGUAAAAACCUGCUCCGGGAAGACAUACGUCAACUUCAAGAGACAGGAACAGACCACACCCAUGCUGCCACAUGCCUCCUUCAUCCUAAUCUUGUCCUCCUGGGUCCCACCUGGUGGCCAGAGACCAACCACCCGCCUUAGGCACUCCCAUGGCCACUGCCUCUCCUAGGCCCUGAGUGGGAGGACGGGUGAAGGGACCCCCAUUAGGGAAGCUGCACAGCCCCAGGGGUCAGGGCUGGUGAGCCAGGACAGGAGCUCCGGCCUCCUCAGAACUCCUGCCCACCGCGGGACAGAGAACCGACAGCACCACCCAUGCUCUUGGCAGGAUGUUCAAAGCCAUGGUUGAUGUAGGUGCUGCUGGCUGUGGAUGUCGGGGCCUGGUGGGUCGGGCAGGAGGCCACCCUGGCCCUGGCGGCCUCCUCCAUCUUCUGCUCCAGCACUAGAGCCACAUUGACAUCGGGCCCUGCAGAGGAACAGCCCCAGAGGCCCAAGAUCAGGGAGGCCACGUGCUGGGCAGGAGAUGGUGCGGGGGUGGGGGAGGGCCCCCUGGGUUGGGACUGCUGGGAGUGAGUGGGGGAGGGCCCCUGGGUUGGGACUGCUGGGAGCGGGUGGGGGAGGGGCCCUGCUGUGCUGCAGGCCAGCAGGUGCGGGAAGGCCUCUGGGCACUCACCCACGAAGCUGAGGACGACUGGCAGGAAGACCAGGCCGUGCAACAGGCCCAGCAGGGUGAUGAGGAGGUUGAGGCGGAAGAAGAAGAUCUGGAUGAGCUGCGCCUUGGCCAGGCCCAGGACGAGGAUGCCCGGCAGCUGAUGCCCCACAGGGCCAUGAAGCCCACGGUGUCCACGAGGAUCAUGACGAUGGAGAACAGGUUGAGGAGGCCGGAGCGCAGGUCCAUGCCCAGCAGCAGGCAGCAGACGGCGAACGUGGGCAGCAGGCACAUGGCAAGCAUGAAGAGGCCUUCGGGGACCACCAUCAGAGGGAAGAUCCAGAAAGGGAGACAAAACCCUGCAAGUAGUUCACCUGACAGGGCUGUGCUGUGGGUGACCCCUGGACAGGUGCAAUAGCCAUUCACUUAACCAGGUGACCGCCUCUGGGCGUGAUUUGUGCAUGUGAGGAAGGGGUGUGGGUGGCUUGGUGCGGCACCAACUGGUGAGAGUCCGUGAAUGUCUCACCGACUGAGGAUUUGGGGCAGGGCGUGGGGGAGAAAAAAGCAGGGCACACAGGGGUAAAGUCUGAGAACGUGGAGCCAGGUAACACGACCUCUGAGGACAGGGCCAGGGCAGGCCAAAGCCCCCACGAAGGAGGGAGGAGAGAAGACUGGAGGCUGAGAGGCUCUUCCCCGGGGCUUGCAGGGACCCGCCCCCCACCCCCGCCACUGCCCUGGGAGCAGCUGACUCUGGUCUUCCCUGCCAGGUGAGGUCACGCUUACCUAAAACUUGGUUACCAGGUCCCAAAUCCACGGAGGUGCUAUACGCUGCCAGUCCACUGCCAGAAAGUCAGAGCGAAGGCUUCAUCAAGGCCAUGGCCACACUCGGGGACCGUCCCCCGCCAGCACCCACCCCAGGCUUACCCUUUGGGACACUUGAUGUUGGGUGGGUCCUCCAGGAACCAGGGCAGGUAUUUGUGGAACUGGUCCACUGAUGGCCGGACAGGGCCCAGAGUGAAGUUCACACAGCUCUUCAAGCAGGCCAGGGAGUCUGCAAAGAGAGCGGGGGCUCUGGGCAGAGGCGUCUGGACAGAGCCCCCUCUGGCUCCAUUCCCACCAAGGUCCCCACAUACUUCCACCACCCAACAGCCAUGUGACACGUGUGGUCUGGAGGGGUCUGCCCUUGUCUCUGUAGGACAGGGCUGUGGAAACUGCUGGCAGCUGUAGGCAGGUGAGGAAGAGAUGUGCAGGGCAAAGAAACAACCCCCUUGGGCCUCCCCACUUCCCCUACAAGCGCAGCUGCUCUGGGACCAGAGCCACAUGCUAACCUGGCCCUCCACCACCCACCACCCUCGAGUGUUGGUGUGCCCAGAGAUCACCACUCAGGGGGCGCCUGCACAGUGGGGCGUGGUCACCCACACGUGUGCUCUGAGCCCACACCCCCACCCCAAUCGACCCUGCAAGUGGGCCUCGCCAGUCCGCUCCUCUCUUGCCUCAGUUUCCCCAAGCUGUGUUAGGUAGGCCAUGAGCCCCCAGAGGCCCUGCACUCACUAACGGUCGAGGGGCAGAAUUUGUCUUUGUUGGCACCAAAGGCAUACAGGCGGCAGCAAGAGGACGGGGUCAGCCAGUCAAUGAAGUCAUCCACCCAGGAAGAGGCAGGGAUGGCCAGGAGAAGCUGUCGCAUCCUGCGCUCGAGCAAAUGGCAUUCAUUCCUGCCUCACUGGAGAAGUUGUAGCCUCCAGUGGUGACGAAGUAGACUGGAGCCCCCACCUCAAAGUAGCGGUUCAGAAAGAGGAAAUAGUCGAGCAGCACAGCCCACAGGCGUGUGCACGUGCAGACAGGCGGUGUGUCAGGCACCUGCAUGGCCUUUUCCUUUCUCCCAAAACCUCUGAGCGCUGGAAGAGAAGACGGAGUACGAGAAGCCAGGAGUCCACCCCCGCCCCCAACCUAGACACAACUGCACAACCCAUCUGAUGGGGUCUGCAGCCCUUGGGGGCAGUUGAGGGCUCGCAGCUUCCAGGGAAAGGCCUGGAUGGUGAACUGUGCUUCGUGUCAACACCUUCAGCUCCCAGCACAUGCAGGUGUCCCAGGGGCAGUUUGUAUACCGCUUGCGGGGUCCAGCGUGGGACAUAAGGACCCCGCACUCUAUACAGGGCGGAUUUGCGUUCUGAUUGCCGGUCACUGAGCUUCUGAUCUCGGUGGUGCAGAGUCAGGCUGUACCGUGGUCUCCCCCGCCUCCAGCUGGCCCGACUGCCAGGAUAUUUAAAUGGCAAGUGACUGGCUUAUUUUCCGCUUCAUGUUUCCCUUUUUUCUCUUUUGGGGAGCCAGCCAUUUAAGGAAUAGGACAUUCAAACGCAAAUACCGAAGUCACCGCACAUUACCAGGGAAAGGCACAGGCUCAUCAGACUUUAAUUUUAUACCACAGGCUAAUCUCCCGGACACAGACACAGCAACGUCACAUUUGGGGAAAAAAAAAAAAGCAAACCUUAGAGAAGGGAGGAGAAUCUGAUCUUCAGAGUUACCAUAUGAUACAACUCAACUGUGUGUUUUUCAACAACAACAAAAAUCACAAGACACACAAAGAAUCAAAGUGUGGCCCAUACCUAGGAACAAAAACUAAUCAACAGAUGAUCUUGAGAAAGAACAGACAGAAUCAGACAGAAACUUUAAAACAUCUGUCUUGGGAAUGCUUACAGAGCUAAAAUAAGAUACGGACAAAGUCAAGAAAAGAAAGUAUGGACAAAGUGGAAAGACCACCAAAUAGAAGACAUAAAACGGAGACCAGGAACAAAUUCCAGAGCUGGAGAGAAGGAGAAAUACAGGAAAAAUUCUGUUCAUAGGUGACAUGAUGGUAUGUAUAUAAAACUAACAUUCCACCAAAAAACCCCUUAAAACUGGUAAAGAAAUUCAGCAAAGUGGCAAGUUACGAGAUCAACACGCAAGAAUCAGUUUCAUUUCUAUACACGAACAAUGAAUAACCCAAAAAGGAAGCCAAGGGAAGUGCAGUUAUAAGAGCAUAAAGCGAAUAAAGUACUUAGGGAUUAACUUUACCGAGGGUGGAAAGACCCGCAUGCUGACAGCCAUGCCAUAUCUCAGAAAGAAAUUAAGACACAAAUAAAUGGGGAGAUGCCUGUGCCCACGAGCUGGGAGGAUGAAUAUUAUCCAGGCCACCAAGGAGCCUCCAGCUUCAGUGUGAUGCUAUCAAGAUCCCAAUGACGUUUCUUACAGAAAUAGAAAAAUUCAUCUUAAAAUUCAUAAGGGACUCCAAAGAGCCAAAAUAAUCUUUAAAAAGAAUAAAAGUUGGAGGACUCACAUUUCCUGAUCUCAAAACUGACCACAAAAGCACAGUAAUCUAAGCAGUGAGGUGCUGGCAUAAAGACAGACACACAGACCGAUGGGACAGAAGACAGCCCAGAUGUAAACCCUUGCGUGUAUGGCGACAUAGACUCUGACAAGGGUGCCAAGACCAUUCUGUGGAGAAGGGGAGUCUCUUCAACGCUUGCUGCUGGGGACACAGGACGUCUACACACAAAAGAAUGAAGUUGGACCUUCAAAAAUAUACAUAACUAUGCACAAAAAUUAACUCCAACGGACCCAACACUUAAGGGCUGAAUUUGUAACUCCCGGAGAGGAAAGCACAGGGGAAACCUUCCAGAUACUGGGUUUGGUGAUUAUUUCUUGAAUGACCCCAGAAGCCUGGGUAACAAAUGGAAAAAUAGGCAAAUUGGAAUUGAUGAAAACUUUAAAAAGUUUUUUAAAAGGUUUUAUUUUUAAGUAAUCGCUACUCCCAGCACAGGGCCUGAACUCACAACCCCGAGAUCAAGAGUUGCACACUCCGACUGGGCCAGCCAGGUGCUGUGAGAAUUGAAAACUUCUGUUCAUCAAAAGACAUUUCUGAUAGAGUAGAAAGGCAACCAACAGAAGUGGAAAAGACAUUUGCCAAUCAUGUAUCUGAUUAAAAAUACUCAGAAUAUCUAGAGAAUUCCCAAAACUGAGCAAAGAGACAAACAAACAAAAACAACCAAUCUGAUAAAAAAUGAACAAAAGACUUAAACACACAUUUCUCCAAAGAAGACACACAAAUAGCCAAUAAACAUAUGGAAAGAUGCUCAGCAUCACUGAUUAUCUGGGAAAUGUAAAUCAAAACCUCAGUGAGAUGCCCCUUCACACCGAGCAGGAUGGUACUAUCAAAAGGGGGGGUGGGGGUGCCUGGGUGGCUCAGUCGGUUAAGUGUCUGACUUCAGCUUGGGUCAUGAUCUCACAGUUGGUGGGUUCGAGCCCUUCGUCAGGCUGUGCUGACAGCUCAGAGCCUGAAGCCUGCUUCGGAUUCUGUCUCCCUCUCUCUGUGCCCCUCCCCUGCUUGUGCUCUUUCUCUCUCUCUCAAAAUAAAUAAAUAAAGUUAAAAAUAAA